ensembl:miRNA Mir7-2 microRNA 7-2
GGACAGGCCAGCCCCGCCUGGAAGACUAGUGAUUUUGUUGUUGUCUCUCUAUACUCAACAACAAGUCCCAGUCUACCACACGGUGCGGGUCCUCUGA